CUUCGGGGUCCGCAUUGUAAUUUGCAGAGGAUGCUUCGGGAGCGGUCCCCAUCUAAGUGCCCUGGAACGGGACGUCAUAGAGGGUGAGAAUCCCGUAUGGGAUGGGGUGUCCGCGCCCGUGUGAAGCUCCUUCGACGAGUCGAGUUGUUUGGGAAUGCAGCUCUAAAUGGGUGGUAAAUUUCAUCUAAAGCUAAAUAUUGGCCGGAGACCGAUAGCGCACAAGUAGAGUGAUCGAAAGAUGAAAAGCACUUUGAAAAGAGAGUUAAAAAGCACGUGAAAUUGUUGAAAGGGAAGCGCUUGCGACCAGACUCGCUCGCGGGGUUCAGCCGGCAUUCGUGCCGGUGUAUUUCCCCGCGGGCGGGCCAGCGUCGGUUUGGGCGGUCGGUCAAAGGCCCUCGGAAGGUAACGCCCCUAGGGGCGUCUUAUAGCCGAGGGUGCAAUGCGACCUGCCUAGACCGAGGAACGCGCUUCGGCUCGGACGCUGGCAUAAUGGUCGUAAGCGACCCGUCUUGAAACACGGAC
rnacentral:rRNA from 1 species